CAGCAGCCGCGGGAAUACGGAAGGUCCAGGCGUUAUCCGGAUUUAUUGGGUUUAAAGGGAGUGUAGGCGGUCUGUUAAGCGUGUUGUGAAAUUUAGGUGCUCAACAUCUAACUUGCAGCGCGAACUGGCGGACUUGGGUGCACGCAACGUAUGCGGAAUUCAUGGUGUAGCGGUGAAAUGCUUAGAUAUCAUGACGAACUCCGAUUGCGAAGGCAGCGUACGGGAGUGUUACCGACGCUUAAGCUCGAAGGUGCGGGUAUCGAACAGGAUUAGAUACCCCUGUAGUCCCUGUCUCUUAUAC
rnacentral:rRNA from 1 species